rnacentral:piRNA from 1 species
UCUGCAAUGAUCUCUACAUCUAUGAUACUC